CCCUGCCCUUUGUACACACCACCCGUCCCUCCUACCGAUUGAGUGAUCCGGUGAAUAACUCGGACUGACGCAGUGCUCAGCUUCUGGACGUUGCGUUGGAAAGUUUCAUGAACCUUAUCACUUAGAGGAAGGAGAAGUCGUAACAAGGUUUCCGUAGGUGAACCUGCGGAAGGAUC
rnacentral:rRNA from 1 species